CUGAAAGGUAAAAAACAUAUUUUUUAAUAAAAGAAACAGCACACACACACACACACAAAAAAGACAGGUAAACAUAAUUCCACCCAGUGCUGAGUCCUGGAAAAGUCCUUCCUGGCCUGAUGGUGCUCAUGGAUAAAUGAAAAAGGCUGUAUCAUCCACUAUUGGUUCCCUGCCUGAAAAUGCUGAACUUGAAAGGUUUGAAGGGACAGCUGUAUUUCAUUAAAGUUGCUUGGUGAGCAGUGCAUCUAAUGAAGAUUGUUUCCCUAAGGAUUUAAGGACCUUGUUAAUUACUGCUUCCAGUGACAGCAAUCCCUGUUUCCUCUAAACUCCCAUCAAUAUCCCUAUCCCUCAGGAACUGAGAGCUGCCCAUGUCUACCUUCAGUUUCCUCUCACCUACCAUGCAAUCAUGCUGCAACACUAUCUCCACAAUGAUCCUUCGAAUUUCCUCAGGCCUCCACAACUGUCCUAGCUGCUGCCCUAAUCUGGUUUUGAAAUCGUGUCUGUUCUAACCCUGCAUGCAAAAGAACUGAUGAGUGCUAAAUAGGAGAACUCAUGGCAUCCAGUGCCUGAAAAGAACGGCUGAAACAUCUGUCAGACUAAAGACUACAGCACCAAAAUUCAUCUUGUCACAACCUUAUCCUGACAUUCAUGUCCCGAUUCCUGAAAUUAUGAAGCAAACAGAAUAUUUUUAGUAAGAAAAUGGCUCUGCUAUCCUUUCUCAUUCCAGUACCUCGGUUUCAUUGCAAUGCUAUGUUCUGAAGUGAAAGAAGACUUCCAGUAAGUUCUUUCAUUAAGGUGCCACAAAUGUUAGGUAUUUACAUUUGCCUAGACAGACAACCACAAGCCUUUCGUGGAACGUUGGCCAAUGUCUGAAGUGUGCGUGCAGGCAGACAUGCGUGUGGAUGAAGGGACAUACACUUCUUUCAGGACUGGGAGAAAAUAAUCUAUGAAAUACAUUCUCUGUUCAGUUUGGCCCAACACAGGAAUAUCCAUCUUUCAUUCAUCCCACAUCCCACCAGAAAAUCCCUUCAGCUCUAAAAUGAAUCAUAGAAUCACAGAAUCAUAGAAUCACAGAAGGGCCUGGGUUGAAAAGGACCACAAUGAUCAUCGAGUUUCAACCCCCCUGCUAUAUGCGGGGCCGCCAAUCACCAGACCAGACUGCCCAGCAACACAUCCAGCCUGGCCUUGAAUGCCUCCAGGGAUGGGGCACCCACAGCCUCCUUGGGCAACCUAUUCCAGGGCAUCACCACCCUCUGGGUGAAAAACUUCCUCCUAAUAUCUAACCUAAACCUCCCCUGUCUCAGUUUAAGACCAUUCCCCCUUGUCCUAUCACUAUCCACCCUCAUAAACAGCCGUUCCCCCUCCUGUUUAUAUGCUCCCUUCAAGUACUGGGAGGCCACACUGAGGUCUCUUCUCUUCUCCAAGCUAAACAAGCCCAGUUCCCUCCACCUUUCCUCAUAGGAGAGGUUCUGCAGCCCUCUGAUCAUCUUAGUGGCCCUCCUCUGGACUCAUUCCAAGAGCCCUGUGUCUUUCUUGUACUGGGGUUUACUUUAUUCAAAUCUCCAGACAAAAACCUUGGUGAAAGGGGAAAAGAAAACUUUCUUUUCUUUUCUUUUCUUUUCUUUUCUUUUCUUUUCUUUUCUUUUCUUUUCUUUUCUUUUCUUUUCUUUUCUUUUUCUUUUCUUUUCUUUUCUAAGGAAAAAGAUACCUAGCACGAACACAGGAGGAGGCCUAAAAAUCUCAGAAGUGAUGAUGACUGUUGGAGCAUUAGUAUCUAGGGCAGUGACAGGAAUCCCACUAGAUCAGUUAUACAAAAUGCCAGCAGCGUCUACCUCACACUCUGAGGUGCGUGGGGCUCUGCAGACAUCGUGGCAGGUGUCGUGGCCACGCAGCCAUCUCCUGCCAUCUGCAUCCCGACCCAAUGGCACCCACACACCCCUGGGCUGGGGCUGGGUCCUGCUGGGAGAGCAGGGACAGAAGGGGAUGCUGCUGAGCCCGAGGGUGCGAGCUGGGAGGGAGCAUGCGGGGCGAGACAGCCUGGGAGAAGCUUGUCCUACUGCUCCCUCUGCUGUACCCAUCCUGCAGAGAAAUCCCAAAUGUCAGCCGGAGAAGCCGGGAUGACAGAUGGCAGCUUUCAGCCAGAAAUCUGCACGGACCCAGGUGGACUCGAGAAAGGGGAGAAAGCACGUCGACGAGGAAGGAAAGACCACCAGACGCAGGAGAUGGCGCGAUGCGCAUCUUCCCGCGUUCAGCACAUUAAAUCUCUUUUGCUCUGUACCUACUAGGAGAGAUGUUAUCCUUCCGCUUCCAGCACGGCGCAGGGAACACGGGGAAACAACGCCUCUCCUUGAGCGCGGUCUUCCCGCUUUAUAACCUAUAUUUAGCCGAUGAUCUCAUCCUACGAGGACGGGUGUCACGAUCAGCUGCGCGGCUCAGCCUGCAGAGAGGCGCAUGAAGCUCCCCAGGCACGGUUGCUUACAGCAGCCAAAUGACAAGUUAUGCAAUGCCGGCAGCAAAUGCCUCGCAUACCCCGGGCUCCUCGCAGACAUCAAAUGGGGGAAAAACACCCGACCUGGGAUUCAUGUUAAUGCCACACCGAAUUUCACAGGACGAAGCAUGGGCAAAAGUGGCGAAAGGGGAAAAUGGGCUUACGGAAAGGCAAAUAAUGAUUUGUGAAUUAUCAAUCUGACCGUCGGUGAGACUUUUUUAACCCACCACCACCUUAACGUGACUCCGGUCAAAAAUCCCACCGUGCACACUAUUUCUGAGGGCUGAGAAAUCAGCAGCAUUGAAUACCACCUACUAAAGACAUCUGCAGCUGCCAUGAAAAUCUUGCUUUGAAUACAGUGAAAGCUGGUACCCCCAGAAAAAUACAUACUUUCAAAUGCUCAGGUAUUACAGUGUGCUUCUUGUGAUCUUCAGAGCAGUAUUUCAGCUACCGCAAACUUCCCUUUCAGCCCUGAUUUAUGGAAAUCCAAACCAGAGUAAAGACUACCUCAGAAGAAGAAAUCACUCUCAAGCGCUUUUCUCCGAGAAGCACGCGUUUUCCAUAUGAAAAGAGACGAUUAAAGGCUGCAAGUCCAAAAGGCUGGAGUGCAGCAUUUAGGAUUUGGUGACUUUGAACCUCCAAUCAGACAUUCAUCUUAAACCGUACAGAGAAUUUCAGGAACUUGACACAACUUUUACUGGAAAUAAAACCCAAACCCCAAAUCUUCCCAAUACCAGUAUGAGAUUAAAACAACUAAUUAGUGAAUUUCAGAAAUCAACAGAUUAACUGCAUUCUCUUUUCCUCCCUGACCUAAGUAUGAUUUCCUUUUAUAUUACAGAACAUCUACCAGUUAAUGAAAAUAUCAGAAACUGGAUUUUAUAAU
ensembl:lncRNA